AAUGCCCGAGGCAGCCUGAGCGCGGCUGGGGCUCGGAAAGCGCCAAGCAGGCAGGGACCGAGAGGGGUGAUGGCGCGCCCACCCCUGCAGAGCCGCCUGCGCGGUUGUCCCGCGCGUCCCUGCCGGCGAAGGCUGUGAGAAGCACCGCGGGGCUACGGCGCCUCCAUCCUCUCUAACAGCCGCGCUUACCAGACAGCCAGCCUCCAGCGCUGCUAGGCUACUCCGAGCAGGGGAGAAAAGACGCCGGUCCGCCGGGGACCAGGAGGGAGACGUGAAACCAGAGGCCCGGGGGCCCCCUCUCCGCCUGUGCGACUUGUAGUCUCGUACCAGACGCGUCCGCUUCACUGCUGAAUCUGAAAACGUGGGCUCUUGAGAGCUGCCCUUGGAAGGAGCUGUGCUUUCUGCCUCAUCUUUAACUUUUCGUUUAUUCAGCAAAUAUGUAUCAAGUUCCGACUUCGUGGAAGAGAUUGUGUUAGACACUGGGAGUAAUAGAAACAUAAUUAAGAAGCAGGGGUCCCGGACCUGAAGGGCCUGAGCGUCGGUUCUGAAGGCUGAGAAGUUCAAGAGCAAGUGCUGGCAUCUGAUGAGGGCCUUCUUGCUGUAUCAUCCUACGGUGGAAGGGUUUCACUGUAUCUCCCAGGCUGGAAUAUAGUGGAGAUCAUGGCUCACUGCAACCUUGACCUCCUGGGCUCAAGCGGUCUUCACACCUCAGCCUCCCCAGUAGCUGAUCCUACAGGAUCUCACUCUGUCAUCUAGACUGGAAUGCAGUGGUGCCAUCAUAGUUUACUACAGCCUUGACUUCCCAGGCUCAAUCGGUUCUCUCAUCUCAGCCUCCCGAGUGACUGGGACUACAGGCACUUGCCACUAUGCUCAGCUAAUUUUUGUAUACAUGUAUUUUUUUUGGAGGGAUGUGGUUUUGCCGUGUGUGUGUGUGUGUGUGUGUGUGUGUGUGUGUAUGUGUGUAUGUGUCUGUCUAUCAUCUAUUUUUCUAUCUAUCUAUCUAUCUAUCUAUCUAUCUAUCUAUCUACCUAUCUAUUUUUAGAGAUGGGGUCUCACUAUAUUGCCAGGCUGUUCUUGAACUCCUGGGCUCAAGUGAUCCUCUGCUUCCCAAAGUUCUGGGAUUAUGGGUGUGAGCCACCUUGCUUGGCCCACUCUCUCAUAUUUUAAUUCACAUUUCUUCGAAUAGUAGUGAAGUUGAACAUCUUUUAAAAUACAUGAUUUCUGGUUCCUUUUAAAAACAUUUUAUUUGGAAAUAAUUUCAAACUUAACAAAAGUUGCAAGUAUAAAAAACAGUACAAGGAACAUACACCCUUUACCUAGGUUCCUGAAUUGCUAACAUUUUACCCCAUUUGCUUUAUCAUUUGCUCUCUAUGCGUAUGCAUGCAUAGCUGUGUGUGUGUGUGUGUGUGUGUGUGUGUGGUGUGUAUAAUUUUUUACUGAACCAUUUGAAGGUUACAAAUAUUAUAGUCCUUUACUCUUAAGUAUUUCCAUGUAUAUUUUAUAAGAAAAGGAAUAUUCUUGCAUAACCUCAAUGAAGCUACCAAUUUUAUAAGUUUACAUUGGUAUAAUACUUUUUUAAAAUAUACUUUUUCUUUUUUUGGAUGCAUGUAUCUCAUCUAAAAUGCAAUACUUUAAUCUACCAUUCAUAUCCCAAUUUUGUUCACUGACCUAAUAAUGUUCUUGAUAGCAUUUUUCCCCUCCAGCAAAAAAAAUCCAGUCUAGGGUAAGUUAUUGCAUUUGUCAUGUCUCUUCAGCUUCUUUUAAUAUGAAACAUUUUCACAGCCUUCCUUUGUCUUUUAUGUCAUUGAUAUUUUAUAAAAAUAUAGUUUCUAUCCUCCCCAACUGACUUUCUAAGAAAGAAAUUUAUAUGGUAGAAUUUUCAUCAUUUUGUCCUUGUCUGAUGUUUUCUUACAAUAAGUUGGAGUUAUGCAUUCUUGGCCAGGGUUCUGCAUAGUUAAUAUUGUGCCAUUCUCAGGAUAUCACAUCUGGAGAGGCACGUGUUGUCCAUCUCUCCAUUAUUGGUGAUGGUAGUUUUUUUUUUUUCUUGAGACAGUCUUGCUCUGUUGCCUAGGCUGCAGUGCAGUGGUGGGAUCUUGGCUCACUGCAACCUCCACCUCCUGGGUUCAAGCAAUCCUCCUGCCUCAGCCGCCCAAGUAGCUGGGAUUACAAGCAUGUGCCACCCCACCCUGCUAAUUUUUGUAUCUUUUUAGUAGAGAUGGGAUUUCACCAUGUUGGCCAGGCUGGUCCCAAACUCCUGGCUUCAAGUGAUCCUCCUGCCUCGGCCUCCCAAAGUGCUGGGAUUACAGGGGUGAGCCACUAUGCCUGGUCCUGGCCAAUAGUUCUUAUUGGUGAUUGUAAUAGUCUUAUGUCAAGUCUCUAAUGAGCUUGUCCUACAUGGCAGAUACAUAGGAAGUUCUAGGUUGAAAGAUGAAUAAGAGAAUUCCUUUGCUAAUGAGUUUAUAGCCUAGAGAUGAAGCAAAAAUGUAACAGAAAAAUGACAAUAGCAUUGUUGAGUGCUGUAAUGGAAGCAUGGACAGUGAAGUAACUAAAUCUACCCUCAGGAGUAACUCUAGUCAGGGAUGUUGGGGAAGCUUCACAGAAAUAAAUCAUUCAUGAAUAGGGACCACAUUUAUAGAUGUUUUAUCCUACAUGACACUUUGCCUUAUGCUCAUUAACUAAGCAUUAAAUAAAUGAAUGAAAAUAAAAGUCUAUGUGCCCCCAAAUAAAACUGAUGUCAAAAUAUGGCAUGUAGAUUAUUUAAUUGUAUCUCUCUUUUUAGCUUACCAUUGAUGACAGAAUCUUAUUGCUUUAAAUGUUUUAAACACUAAGCAAAUAUAUUUACAUGCUGAGAGAAAAUGCUCAUAGUAAAUUAUAUGUACAAAUGUGGUAUGUAAGUUUACGAUAUAAGCUUUUCUAAUGUAGUUUUAUAUUCAGUUAGAGACCUUGAUUAUGAAAUUGAAAUAUGUACAGAAUCAUAGAUCUUAAUGUAGAAAACAAUUUCAGGAGUGCAUCCAUUCCAAUUCCUUUUCUUUGAGCAGAAGCCAAUUUUACAGAUGAUGCCUUGAGGCUUAGAGAAAUUUAAUGCCUCAACCAGGUCAAGGGUAUGUGGUCAUCUAGGACUCUAUAACCCUGAUUCAAUGCCAAGCCUCUUUCUGGCAAUAAUUGGUACUCAAUCUGUAUUUGCGGAGUGAAUAAUACUCUUUCCUCCUAGUGCAUUGUGAUUUCCACUAUCCAUGCUGAACUUUUAGGAAGGUUUAAGAACUUUUAGGAAGUCACAGCUAAUCCUCUAAGCCAUAUACUGAAGUUCCAAUUUCUGUUGGUGUGAAUCAUGUAAAAUAGCUCUGUCUGAGAUGCUGGCAAGUUUGUGGAGAAAGGGAACACUUAUACUCUGCUGGUGGGAAUGUAAAUUAGCUCAGCCACUGUGGAAAGCAGUCUGGAAAUUUCUCAGAGAACUUAAAAUGGAACUACCAUUUGACUCAGCAGUCCCAUUACUGGGUGUAUACCCAAAGGAAUAGAAAUCAUUCUGCCAUAAAGACACAUGCACAUGAAUAUUCAUCGCAGCACUAUUCACAAUAGCAAAGACAUGGAAUCAACCUAGAUGCCCAUCAGUGGUGGACUGGAUAAAGAAACUGUGGUACAUAUACACCACAGAAUAUUACACAGCCAUAAAAACAAAUGAAAUAAUGUCUUUUGCAGCAACAUCGAUGGUGGUGGAGGUCAUUAUCCUAAGCAAAUUCAUCAGAAACAAAAAACCAAAUGCUGCAUGUUCUCGCUUUUAAGUGGGAGCUAAACAUGGACACAAAGAAAGGGACAAUAGACACCAGGGCCUAUCUGGGGAUGGAGGAUAGGAGGAGGGUGAGGAUGGAAAACCAGCUAUUGGGUACUAUGCUGAUUACCUGGAUGACAAAAUUAUCUGUACCCCAAACCUCUGUUACACACAAUUUACCCAAGUAACAAACCUGCACAUGUACCUGCUGAACCUAAAAUAAAAGAUUAUCUGUACCCAAAACCUCUGUUACACACAAUUUACCCAUGUAACAAACCUGCACAUGUACCUGCUGAACCUAAAAUAAAAGUUGAAAAGAAAAAAAACAAUAGCUCUGUCUGAUAGAACUAUAACAUAACCAUGAUUGUGGUUAUAAAUUUUUUAGUAGUCAUAUUACAAAAAAAGAGUCAAAUUAAUUUUGAUAAUACAUUUUAUCUAAUAAAUAUAUCAAAAAUUUUAGCAUUUCAAAAUGUAAACAAUAUGAAAUUAUUGAGAUAUUUUAUAUUAUUUUUUCAUACUGUCUUAUGAAUUUGGUGUGUAUUUUACAGCCCAUUUCAAUUUCGACUAUCCAAAUUUCAAGUGCUCAGUAUCUGCAUGUGGCUACUGGUUACUGCAUGGUCCAAUAUUCAGUAUGUAUAAUGGACAGUGCAGAUACAGAAUGACCCUUGAUAAUCCGUCAUCUUUGUGCUUUGCAUUAUUCAAUAUCAGCUGCCAUAGGGCAAAUGACCCAGAGAAGGGUUUCUUCUCUCCAACUGACUUUGACAUAAUCUCAGGGUUGUGGGUACAAAUCUUUACAUAGAACUGCAGAAUUUUGGAGAUGGAUGGGACAACAUAGUAGUACUUUAAUAAAAACAUACACAUGUAACUACUUGCUUCUCACGCUUAUGGUAUCAACAGCUAGUUGUGAUGUUUUCAAAAUUAGAUCAUGGAUAAUAUGUUUAUCUAAAUUGAUUUCCAUAUCCCUUAUAUAGCUUGAUAUAAUACAACUUCAAAAUAAAAUUGCUCACUCCUAGAUUUGAGUAGGGGAGUAAGAAAGGUAGCUUUGGUGAAAAUGACAUUCAGAUUUUUUUUUUUUUUUGAGACAAAGUCUCACACUGUCCCCCAGGCUGGAGUGCAAUGGCGCGAUCUCGGCUCACGGCAACCUCCACCUCCCAGGUUCACGUGAUUCUCCUGCCUCAGCCUCCCGAGUAGCUGGGAUUACAGGUGCAUGCCACCAUGCCCAGCUAAUUUUUUGCAUUUUUAGUAGAGACAGGGUUUCACUCUGUUGGCCAGACUGGUCUCGAACUCCUGACCUCGUGAUCCGCCCGCCUUGGCCUCCCAAAGUCCUGGGAUUACAAGCGUGAGCCACCGCCCCCAACCUGACAUUCAGAUUUUAAAUUCUUUAUUAAAUAUGUCAAUAGGGAACAUUUUUCUUGGCUGCUAUAAAAGGUAGAAGCCUUUAAUAAGAUAACGUUUUAAAUUAGUGGGUGAAGACAAUAUAAUUAAUAAAUUAUCUUGGGACAACUGAGCACUCGUAUGUGGAACUGUAAAAUAAUAAAGUUGGAUCUCAAAUUUCCUUCUAUACCAACAUAGUGCUAUGUGAAACUAGAACAUUUUUUCUCAUACAUUGUUGGAGGGGUAUGAAAAUUGGAGGGAAAUUUGGCAAUAUUGAUGAAACUUGUAUGCUUGCAAUUUUAUGAAUUU
rnacentral:lncRNA from 1 species